rnacentral:rRNA from 1 species
UACGAAGGGGGCUAGCGUUGUCCGGAAUUACUGGGCGUAAAGAGCUCGUAGGUGGUUUGUCGCGUUGUUCGUGAAAACUCACAGCUCAACUGUGGGCGUGCGGGCGAUACGGGCAGACUAGAGUACUGCAGGGGAGACUGGAAUUCCUGGUGUAGCGGUGGAAUGCGCAGAUAUCAGGAGGAACACCGGUGGCGAAGGCGGGUCUCUGGGCAGUAACUGACGCUGAGGAGCGAAAGCGUGGGGAGCGAACAGG